CCCAAAAUUCUUGUCUUAGAUUUGUCUAGAUACGAAUGUAUCAAGUCACAUUUUAGUAUUAGAUACAUCCGUAUCUAGACAAAUCUAAGACAAGAAAUUUGGGAUAGAGGGAGUAGUUG
rnacentral:pre_miRNA from 1 species